AGCAGUAGCCGCGGUAAGACAGAGGAUGCAAGCGUUAUCCGGAAUGAUUGGGCGUAAAGCGAGCGCAGGCGGUCAAUUAAGUCUGAUGUGAAAGCCCCCGGCUCAACCGGGGAGGGUCAUUGGAAACUGGUUGACUUGAGUGCAGAAGAGGAGAGUGGAAUUCCAUGUGUAGCGGUGAAAUGCGUAGAUAUAUGGAGGAACACCAGUGGCGAAGGCGACUCUCUGGUCUGUAACUGACGCUGAGGCUCGAAAGCGUGGGUAGCAAACAGGAUUAGAUACCCGGGUAGUCCCUGUCUCUUAUAC
rnacentral:rRNA from 1 species